UCUCCCCAGGCUGUGGUUGCGGGGGCGCUCAGGCGCUUCUCAGUCCAUGACAGACGCGGUCAAAGGGAUCCACGUAAGCGUCCGCGUGCGCGCGGCGCGAUCAUGGCGCGUCCUAGAAGUAAGCCGCACCGUCCGUUUUUCCUUUUGCGAGGCAAUGGUUGCCUCCCGGACGAGCGGGUUAGUAGUGAGGGCCGCUGAGGCGGCGUGAGCAAACGCUCCAGUGCGCAGGUGUGGGGUCAAAAACCAGGUCAGCUGGGGGGA
rnacentral:ncRNA from 1 species